rnacentral:rRNA from 1 species
AACACAUGCAAGUCGAACGGUCUUUUCGGAGACAGUGGCGGACGGGUGAGUAACGCGUAAGAAUCUACCUUCAGGUCGGGGACAACCACUGGAAACGGUGGCUAAUACCGGAUGUGCCGAGAGGUGAAAGGCUUGCUGCCUGAAGAAGAGCUUGCGUCUGAUUAGCUAGUUGGUGGUGUAAGAGACUACCAAGGCGACGAUCAGUAGCUGGUCUGAGAGGAUGAUCAGCCACACUGGGACUGAGACACGGCCCASACUCCUACGGGAGGCAGCAGUGGGGAAUUUUCCGCAAUGGGCGAAAGCCUGACGGAGCAAUACCGCGUGAGGGAGGAAGGCUCUUGGGUUGUAAACCUCUUUUCUCAGGGAAGAACARAAUGACGGUACCUGAGGAAUAAGCAUCGGCUAACUCCGUGCCAGCAGCCGCGGUAAUACGGAGGAUGCAAGCGUUAUCCGGAAUGAUUGGGCGUAAAGAGUCCGUAGGUGGCAUUGAAAGUCUGCUGUUAAAGAGUCUAGCUCAACUAGAUAAGAGCAGUGGAAACUACAAAGCUAGAGUUUGGUCGGGGCAGAAGGAAUUCCUGGUGUAGCGGUGAAAUGCGUAGAGAUCAGGAAGAACACCGGUGGCGAAGGCGUUCUGCUAGGCCGAGACUGACACUGAGGGACGAAAGCUAGGGGAGCGAAUGGGAUUAGAUACCCCAGUAGUCCUAGCCGUAAACGAUGGAUACUAGGCGUAGCUCGUAUCGACCCGAGCUGUGCCGGAGCUAACGCGUUAAGUAUCCCGCCUGGGGAGUACGCAGGCAACUGUGAAACUCAAAGGAAUUGACGGGGGCCCGCACAAGCGGUGGAGUAUGUGGUUUAAUUCGAUGCAACGCGAAGAACCUUACCAAGGCUUGACAUGUCACGAAUCCUGUAGAAAUAUAGGAGUGCCUUCGGGAGCGUGAACACAGGUGGUGCAUGGCUGUCGUCAGCUCGUGUCGUGAGAUGUUGGGUUAAGUCCCGCAACGAGCGCAACCCUCGUUUUUAGUUGCCAGCAUUAGGUUGGGCACUCUAGAGAGACUGCCGGUGACAAACCGGAGGAAGGUGGGGAUGACGUCAAGUCAGCAUGCCCCUUACGUCUUGGGCUACACACGUACUACAAUGCUACGGACAAAGGGCAGCUACACAGCGAUGUGAUGCGAAUCUCAUAAACCGUAGCUCAGUUCAGAUCGAAGGCUGCAACUCGCCUUCGUGAAGGAGGAAUCGCUAGUAAUUGCAGGUCAGCAUACUGCAGUGAAUUCGUUCCCGGGCCUUGUACACACCGCCCG